AGGGCGCAGGGCGAAUGCCUUGGCACUGGGAGCCGAUGAAAGACGUGAUAAGCUGCGAUAAGCUUCGGGGAGCUGCAAAUAAGCAUUGAUCCGGAGAUUUCUGAAUGAGGAAACUCACCUGGGUUCAUACUCAGGUACGUUAUACUGAACUUAAAAAUAGGUAUAUCGAGGGAACCGCCUGAACUGAAACAUCUAAGUAGGGCGAGGAAGAGACAUCAAACGAGAUUCCGUAAGUAGUGGCGAGCGAACGCGGAAGAGGGCAAACCGGGAGUAGAAAUACUUCCGGGGUACGGACUGCUUUUAGGACUUAAUCUGUUAACCGAACGGCAUGGGAAGGCCGGUCAGAGAGUGUGAGAACCACGUAGGUGAAAACGGAAAGAGCUGCGCAGAUUCCAGAGUACGGCCAGACACGUGAAACCUGGUCGGAAGAUGGGGGGACCACCCUCCAACCCUAAAUACUACCCAGUGACCGAUAGCGUAUAGUACUGUGAAGGAAAGGUGAAAAGCACCCCGGGAGGGGAGUGAAAAAGAACCUGAAACCCUGUGCCUACAAGCACCUAGAGCACGUCAAUGUGUGAUAGGGUACUUUUUGUAGAACGGUCCGGCGAGCGAUUGUAUGCAGCAAGGUUAAGGACUUAAGGUCUGGAGCCGAAGCGAAAGCGAGUUUGAAAAGGGCGUUAAGUUGCAUAUAAUGGGCCCGAAACCGGGUGACCUACCCAUGGUCAGGUUGAAGUGGAAGUAAAAUUCCAUGGAGGACCGAACCGACCUCCGUUGAAAAGGCGGCGGAUGAACUGUGGGUAGCGGAGAAAUUCCAAUCGAACCCGGAGAUAGCUGGUUCUCCCCGAAAUAGUUUUAGGACUAGCCUCAAGUUAGAUACCUGGAGGUAAAGCACUGAAUAGCCUAGCGGCCGAGAGGUUAGCGAAGCUUAUCAAACUCAGAAUGCCAGAGUAUUGAUGCUUGGGAGUCAGACAGUGUCAGAUAAAUGUCAUUGUCAAAAGGGAAACAGCCCAGAUCUACAGCUAAGGUCCCAAAGUCAGGUUAAGUGGAAAACGAUGUGAAGAUACGCAGACAACCAGGAUGUUGGCUCAGAAGCAGCCACUCAUUCAAAGAGUGCGUAAUAGCUCACUGGUCGAGCGUCUUUGCGCGGAGAAUUUAACGGGGCUAAACCUGACACCGAAGCUUAGGCAAUCCAGUAAUGGAUUGGGUAGGGGAGCGUUGUAUACGCGGAGAAACAGUAGCGUAAGCGGCUGUGGAGUGUAUAGAAGUGAGAAUGCCGGAAUGAGUAGCGCGAAUGCAGUGAGAAUCUGCAUGGCCGAAAGCCUCAGGUUUUUGGAGGAAGGUUCGUCCGCUCCAAGUUAGUCGGGAGCUAAGGUGAGGCCGGAAGGCGUAGCCGAUGCACAGACGGUAGAGAUUCCGUCACCACCAAAAGAGUUAAGCACAGGGACACAUUUGAAGUCUCAGAGCCGGGUGUUGGUUCCGGUAGAGAUCGAGGGAAGUUAGUACCGAAGUCUGGGAUGGAAGAUGGCGAGAAAAGCUGUGUGUAUUUCUGAGGUGCCCGUACCGCAAACCGACACAGGUAGGUAGGAAGAAGAUUCUAAGGCCAACGGGAGAAGGGUUGUUAAGGAACUCGGCAAAUUGACCCCGUAACUUCGGGAGAAGGGGUGCUCCAGAGAUGGAGCCGCAGAGAAUCGGCCCAAGCAACUGUUUACCAAAAACACAGGUUUGUGCUAAAUCGAAAGAUGACGUAUACGAGCUGACGCCUGCCCGGUGCUGGAAGGUUAAGAGGAGAUGUGCAAGCAUUGAAUCGAAGCCCCAGUGAACGGCGGCCGUAACUAUAACGGUCCUAAGGUAGCGAAAUUCCUUGUCAGGUAAGUUCUGACCCGCAUGAAAGGCGUAAUGAUUUGGGCACUGUCUCAACAGCCCGCCCGGCGAAAUUGUAGUACCGGUGAAGAUGCCGGUUACCCGCGACAAGACGGAAAGACCCCAUGGAGCUUUACUGUAGCCUAAUAUUGGGUUUCGAUGUUGCAUGCACAGGAUAGAUGGGACACUAGGAAACAAUCGCUUUGGCGGUUGCGGAGUGGCCGUUGGGAUACCAUCCUUGCGAUAUUGGAAUUCUAACCUGCGGCUCU
rnacentral:rRNA from 1 species